GUGCCAAGCAGCCGCGGUAAAACCAGCACCUCAAGUGGUCAGGAUGAUUAUUGGGCCUAAAGCAUCCGUAGCCGGCUCUGUAAGUUUUCGGUUAAAUCUGUACGCUUAACGUACAGGCUGCCGGGAAUACUGCAGAGCUAGGGAGUGGGAGAAGUAGACGGUACUCGGUAGGAAGUGGUAAAAUGCUUUGAUCUAUCGAUGACCACCUGUGGCGAAGGCGGUCUACUAGAACACGUCCGACGGUGAGGGAUGAAAGCUGGGGGAGCAAACCGGAUUAGAUACCCGGGUAGUCCCAGCUGUAAACUAUGCAAACUCAGUGAUGCAUUGGCUUGUGGCCAAUGCAGUGCUGCAGGGAAGCCGUUAAGUUUGCCGCCUGGGAAGUACGUACGCAAGUAUGAAACUUAAAGGAAUUGGCGGGGGAGCACCACAAGGGGUGAAGCCUGCGGUUCAAUUGGAGUCAACGCCAGAAAUCUUACCCGGAGAGACAGCAGAAUGAAGGUCAAGCUGAAGACUUUACCAGACAAGCUGAGAGGUGGUGCAUGGCCGUCGCCAGCUCGUGCCGUGAGAUGUCCUGUUAAGUCAGGUAACGAGCGAGAUCCCUGCCUCUAGUUGCCACCAUUACUCUCAGGAGUAGUGGGGCGAAUUAGCGGGACCGCCGCAGUUAAUGCGGAGGAAGGAAGGGGCCACGGCAGGUCUGUGAUGCCC
rnacentral:rRNA from 1 species